rnacentral:misc_RNA from 1 species
AACGCAUAUUGCACUCCCUGGUAUUCCGGGGAGUAUGCCUGUUUCAGUAUCAUGAACAAAUACAUCAGGCCAAAAAGGCUCUUUUUGGACCCUGGAUCUAGGCUGUGAAAACUUAUUCUGUAGCCGACCUCGAACGGAGAGCUCUUGUUUCUCUUUCAGGGUCGGCCAGCCUGAAAUGCAUCCAACCGCGGCAAGGGAAAAGAAAGGCGUGAUAGUUUGACCUCUGAGUCGAUCUUUUCGCCGAAGCCUCUCUUCCUCCCGCGGCGAUUAGCAGGACCCGACGAAAAGCGACCGGUUUGGUUGUCUUUUUGAUCUUCAACUUGAUCUGAAAUCAGGUAGGAUUACCCGCUGAACUUAA